rnacentral:rRNA from 1 species
AUACGUAGGGGGCAAGCGUUAUCCGGAUUUACUGGGUGUAAAGGGAGCGUAGACGGAAGGCCAAGUCUGAUGUGAAAGCCCGCGGCUCAACUGCGGGACUGCAUUGGAAACUGGUCAUCUGGAGUGCAGGAGGGGUAAGCGGAAUUCCUAGUGUAGCGGUGAAAUGCGUAGAUAUUAGGAGGAACACCGGUGGCGAAGGCGACUUACUGGACUGUAACUGACGCUGAGGCGCGAAAGUGUGGGGAGCAAACAGGAUUAGAUACCCUGGUAGUCCACACUGUAAACGAUGAAUGCUAGGUGUAGGGGGUAUCGACCCCUUCUGUGCCGCAGUCAACACAAUAAGCAUUCCGCCUGGGGAGUACGGCCGCAAGGUUGAAACUCAAAUGAAUUGGCGGGG